UUCCAGUGAUUCGUCAUCCCCACAAUGUUCCCAUUGACCAGCUAAGUGGGUAGGCUCUGUACCCUGCAGGGUAAUGCAUCACAGGAAAUAAAGAGAUUGACAGCUGGUGGCUUUUGCUUGGGGUAGAGCGAGCAGUCAACCUUUUAAAUACAGGAGGAAAAUGCUACAGUGAUUACAUGAACC